rnacentral:misc_RNA from 1 species
AAUCGAGGUCGCGCUGAUCGUGCGCCGGGCAUCCGAAGAUGGCGCCGGUGCCGUAUUCCAUCAGCACGAAGUUGGCGACAUAGACCGGCAGCUUCCAGUCCGGAUCGAACGGAUGGGCNCACGGCCUUGAUGCCGGUGUCGAAGCCCUGCUUCUCGGCGGUGUCGAUGAUUUCCUGCGCGGUGCCCUGACGUUUGGUCUCGGCAAUGAAUUCGGCGAGCUUCGGGUUUUUCGCCGCAGCCGCCUGCGCGAGCGGAUGAUCCG